UCUAGCGACUUUUCCGGUGCUGUUACAAACACUUCUGGUUUGGAGACUCGGACGUGAAAGCACGUCAUCACUGCUGUUUCCACCGAGCAGCGGUGCUGCCGUGAGCCCCUCGCCCCCGUCCCUACAGCCCCCACCGGCGGUGUCACGGAGCUGUGCCCGCUAUGAGACCCGCUCCACGCCGCUGACACCCCCACCACACCCGUCUUAGAGCGACAUACACAGCCUCAGUCACUACUCACCUCAUCUACUGUGAUGACACGAUCUGUGACACAAUCCUUGGCCAUGCCAAAGCCAGGUUCUCCUUCACCAGCCACCUUGUGAGUGCCGUGCUGCUAGAGGCAGAGCUGUUUGACCGGCAUCGGACAACAUUCCCUGAAGAGGCUCUGAAUACCACCGUGAGGGCAUACCCCAUGCUACACAAGGAGAGGCUCAGGACUGAGCUUUCUCUCAUCUACGAAAGUCCAGACUUCAGGGGCUGCUGCGGUGCACUGGCUCUGUACCAGGUUCUACAGAGCUACAACCUCCAGGAAACCUUCUCUGAGACUGUGGCGCUGUUGAACAUCCUCAUAACCACUCCGAUGACAACAGCUGAAGCUGAGAGGUGUUUCUCCACCUUAAAGAGGAUCAAGACAUUCCUGAGAAAUACAAUGGGACAGGAACGUCUGAAUGCAUUGGGCAUGCUUUCCAUGGAAAGAGAGCUGGUCAGGAACAUGCCUGAUUUCAACGAGAGGGUGAUUGAUCGCUUUGCUUGCUUGAAAGAGAGGCGAGCUAAAUUUCAAUACAAGUGAUGAGUGAGUGUGUUCUUAAAUGGUGAGUUGUGUUAUGUUGUACUCUCCAAAUGUUGAAUUGUAAAUAGUUGUAUUGAUUGCAUAUUGCCAGCCAAAUACAGUUAUGUUCAUAAUAAUAGCAGUGUGUUUAAAAAGGUGACCGCUUCAUUACAUGUAUUUUUUUUAACAAUGGGACUUUGCGGGGGCUUCUUGGUGGUAGCUUGGCUUCACAUAGACGUUGUCUGAUUGUUACAGUACUCACAGGCAAUCUUAGAUCUUCUCUGAUCCUCCUGGAGCUGAUCAUUGGCUGAUCCUUUGCCAUUUUGGUUAUUCUCCGAUCCCUUCGAAUAGUUGUUUUUCUUUUUCUUCCUCACCUGGUGGUGAUGGUUUUGGCUGCCAUUUUAAAGCGUUUGAUAUCAUUUUAGCUGAACAGCCUAUCAUUUUCUGCACUUCUUUAUAGGUUUUCCCCUCUUUUAUUAAUUUCUUAAUCAAAGAAUGCUCUUCUUCUUAACAGUGUCUUAAACAACCCGUUUUACUCUGUUUUUCAAGGACAAAUGCACAGCCAGCAUAUGCAGCAUCAGUUGCCUUGAUCCUUGAAUAGGGGCCAUCUGUUUAACACCUAUUUUUUUUCACAUAAUCAAUGACCUCAAUAGUUGAACCUGGCACUGCUAUUUUUUUGAACACGCCCCUUUCAGUAAAUGAUUCAGUUUCACAGAAUCAGCAGCAUGCACGUCAUGCCUGUUGGGUCUGUUGGUUUUCUAUACCUUUACUAAACCUGUAAACUGUAUAGUGGUAAAUGGAAUAUGUUCUGGAAAAUUUUGAUUAAUUACAGUUUUGAUUAUAGUAUAAUUUGAUUUGAUUAUUGCUAUGGCAUCCAUGAUGGCUAUAAAUUGUAGACUGUGCUAAAAGUGAUUUCAAGGGCAAACUAUUAGAUGACAAACUAUCUGUUAAUGUGUGUUUUAUUGUGGAACCAAAUGUAUUGUAUAUUUUAUGUCUGGGGUUGCAUCUAGUGGUUGAAAACCAAAUUAAACAAUGAGAUGUGACACUGUAAAGCUGGCUAUCUGACUUUUAUUUAUUAUUAUUUUACCCAUUGAAUGGGUCAUCUUAGCCAUCAUCACAACUUUUGCCCCCCCUGAGAAA